rnacentral:rRNA from 1 species
UACGUAGGGUCCGAGCGUUGUCCGGAAUUAUUGGGCGUAAAGGGCUCGUAGGCGGUCUGUUGCGUCGGGAGUGAAAACUUACAGCUUAACUGUGAGCGUGCUUUCGAUACGGGCAGACUUGAGGCAUUCAGGGGAGAACGGAAUUCCUGGUGUAGCGGUGAAAUGCGCAGAUAUCAGGAGGAACACCUGUGGCGAAAGCGGCGCACUGGACCACAACUGACGCUGAGGCGCGAAAGCUAGGGGAGCAAACAGG